CUCUGGAGUACCUGCAGGUGGAGAAAGACGUGGUGACUGGAAGGAAGCCCAGUCCUGCCCCGCCCAAUGGCGGGGAAUAAAGUAAAACGGAUAACUGAGACGUCUCCUUCCAGAUGGACGUCCUUUGUAGAACUUCGUUUGAUUUCCAGGGUCGGCAGGUGGAGCGAAGGGUGUGGCUCUCAAUUUUUUUUCCCCAAAGGAUGACUCUUGCAAAAGUGUAGUGGUGAAAAGCAGAGGGGUGGGAGAUAGGAAUUAGGGUGGGAAAGAAUCUUACCUCUUAAAGUAAGAAUAAGAUAAAAAUAAAUUGAGGCAGUUUGGCAACAUCUGGAUCACUUGCCAGCUUCAAAAUCUUAGUGAAACUUCUUCCUGCUGCAUAUUAUAAAUCAUAAGUCUCACUCAAUGUCCCCAUUAAAAAAGCCCCACAAAACUUUUCAUUUAUUGACUUAAAGGAGAUCACCAGCACGUCCCUGGCAGCUUUAGCUGAUUCUAACAUAGGAGAUAGCCGGGAAAUAGAGACCCGUCGUCUCUUUAACUGUCAGUCCUUCAUUCCUACAGCAAACGCCCUGCUUUGAGUUCUUUUUAAAGUUAUCAAAGAAUGAGAGACAACUGUCCCUAGAUGAAAUAUCUGGUUGUUUACAGAUGAAACUGGUUACUCAAACUUAUUUGUAAAUAAUUUAUACCUUUCAAUGUCACCAAUCGAAACAUAAAUCAAAAAGUUUAAAUGCUUGAUGUCAAGUCACUCCUUCCUGUCUGGAGCAGCUCCACAGAAACUCUUGCAUGUCCUGAAAUGGCCGGCCCUGUGCAUACUCCUUAAUGAUUAACUCAUUAGAUACUACUUCUCCCUUUUGAAAAUGGACACACAUUAGCAGUUAAGUUCCAGGCAUCCCCCUCCACUGUUUAAACGAAAUAUUCAAUUAAGCAUAAAAGAAACUACCCUGUAACCGUCAAUCACAAACCUAAAGGUUAAAACAACUAAACCAGCACAAAACUCUAAUGGUUUUGAAGGUUCAAUUGCAUUUCAACACAAGUAACAGACACGAAGUAUUCAAGUAUGCUGAGUGCGUUGGUUCAUUUAAAAAUUAUGCAGGUUUUUCAACACCAGUACAAUGGAUGUUGUGUAUUUAUUAGUUAAUAAAAUGUGCAGAGUAUUUAAUGAGACUAAGCACAAAAUUCCUAACACCAGACUGAGUUCCAGUGAUACCAAAUACACUAUUUAUGUCAUGGUAAGUUAUUAAUAAUGAAAACCCCACUCCCUAAAUUCGGACACACAAUUAAGGGUCUCUAAAUUCCAUCUUGUUCUGGCUAUGCUAUUUACAAACAACUUUUACAUUGACUUUUGGGAUUAAUGGAGAAAAACGUCCUUGGUUGCCCUUAAAAAGAAAAAAAAAACAUGUUUAGCAAACGUACAGACUUUAAAACUCCACAACCUUCUCCCAAUGAAAUAUUUAUGUUCCACACAAAUAUGUGAACCGUCACAUCAGAUGUUAAAGUCAUCCCUAAUUUCACGUUCCUUAGUUGACUACUUAAAAAAACAAAAGUUCAUUCGAACUAGCAGUCGUAUCAAAGGCGAAGGUCCUUUCCAGUUUACAAACUCACUGGAAUCGAAUUCGUUUGUACCUUUCGCUUAAUCCCCCUUUCUCCACUCCCACUGACAGUACAACGAUUUACAUUCUGAAAAAGCCAUCUCGCUCCCCUAGUUUAUGGAUUUCCCCUUAGACUGAAAUUUACUUACGAAAAGAGAAAGAAUCGAUACUUUCGAGUUGCCCAUAGCCCCACCCAUCCCUUCUGAAUAGAACUGUUUGGCAACAUCAUUUAAGAGCCAAAGAAUCCGCCUCUUCCUCUGUUCAUAUUUUACAACGUUUUGUCUGAAUUUUGCAGAUGCCUUCUUCCCCACGCCCCAAACACACCAGGUACCUUCCCUUGGCGCAUUGGUGCCAAACCUUCCCAAUGUCAAGACUCCUACAGGGAAAACUAAACAACCUUGAAAGUUUUAAUUGGGAAAAAGACAGUGCAAAAUUAAUCACACAUUUAUUUCCAAGACAUAGUUUGCCGCUUGCAAAUAAGAGCCGUGAAAAGUCCAUUUACAGUUUGUCAAAACCAGUCGCUCCCGACCCUGGCGAGGCUGACAGUCGGUCACUGCCCCUUACUCAGUUUUCUCUCCCCGCCCCUCCCUGUUAGCUUUUUUCCUGCCCGUUUCCUAAGAAUUUUCCCGGCCGCACUCCUGUGCUAAACACUUUCAAGGUCUGUUUCGCCCGCACCCCGGCCCCCAAGCAUGCUUUCCAAUCCCAAAGCCACACGGAACUUUUUCAGCAUUGUCACCAGAUUUUUUUCAGUCCACCGUAACCAACGUUCCUAUCGGGAAAAACGCCAGCCAACAAGUCCCUUUUUAAAAAAUCUCAUGUCACCUCUCGCUCCACUCGAAAAUGGCGCCGAAAUCGAAGAACUUCUUAAAUUUCAUUGUCAGCUUUUUGCAAAGGUUUCUGGGAUUUUCCUGCGAAGCUGUUUCGCCGAGACUGAAAGCUAGCGAACAAGCGGCAAGCGAGCAAAAGAGAGGGAGGAAGGAAGGCGGGCGGGGAGACGCGGACAGACAGCGGGAGAGCGGGGCCCGGGCGGGAAGCGGGGCUGGGACGUGGGAGGCGGCGGGGUCGCGGGGCGCGAGGGGCCGGGCACCAGCCGCGGGGACCGAGCGCUGGGCGCAGAGAGCCAGGGCCGGGGGCCGGGGUGGCGGGCGGAGGGUGCGCUCUGGGGCUGGCUGCAGCCGAAGCUCGGAGAGCGGCGUGGCGGAGGCGGAGCGGAGCGCGGGGUCGGAGCCGUGCGCACCCGGGGAGGCGAGCGG
ensembl:lncRNA